UGUUCUUUAAAUAUGUAUCUAAUGUGAUGAUAGGGCACACAUUCUGAAGACAUCAAAGAGAAAAGUGCUCCGCUUAAAAAUACUGUUUGUUUGGAAACCUGUGCUUUGCUGUAUGCAUAUUAUUUUUAUGCAUCUAAUCUAGUGGCAUCUAAGGUUCAGACUGUAGCAUUUUGAUGAUUGUGAUGUUUAUUUGUAUUUUUUAAAGGUUUCAGUCUCUGAGCUUCCUUCCUUCACCUUAGUAAGAUAAUGGUAUCAGGGUCAGCGGUAACAUAGGAAGUGAAUGAUUUGCUUUGGUAUGUCCAGUUGAACUACGACCUCCAGAGCUCUGCUACCCAGCAUCGCCCUCAGGGUCACUCUGCUCAGCUGCUGCAGACUCAAUGGAGUACCUACAGGCAGACAACCACAAAGGUUUAUGGGAGAUUUAGUCUAUCCACAACACUGGGAUAGUAUUCAAGAGUCAAUACACAGUCAGAGAUAUAUGUCCCAUUUAGUAUAUUUAAAGACUGGAGCUUUUGAGCAGGGAUAUUAUGUUGAUGUUUGCUUGCAUAACCCAACAAUAGGACUCAAUAAAACAUGAGUUGAGCAAAUUUUUUAAAAUGUAUGUCACAAUGUCCUUACACUUCAUGAAAUAAAGUUUUUAUUUUUCCUUACAAGAGGUGUCUAUGUCUGAUGCCUAGGAUACUGUUGCUGUGUGGCUUCUCGCACAGACCUGGUCUCACAUUCCACGAGUGGCUCUGUGGCAGAGGAAUCUGUCUGGGUCUCAUCGUCAGUUACUGACCCGUAACUAAACUGAAUGUUAUAGUACUAAUUGAUCAGCUUCAGGGAACAUGAGUAGGAUAGACAUUAACUUGAGGGACAGGACAGAUGGACUUAGUCUAUGUUCAAAAUACUGGAGAAAUAUCUUUCUGACUUAAGACUGAGUAUUGUUAGGGGUUAAAGUAAGCUGGUGUGGUCUGGUAUUGCAUCCUAAAAAGAUAAACAUGCUCCUGUAAAUAGAUAUUUAUCAUAACCACAUGUCAGCCACAUGAAAAAUGGACUUGAAAUUGGGUGGCAUAUUAUAGACGCUCCAAAAUGUGGCGUAGUUCGAGGAGAACACUGAUAUUUUUCCAAGGCAGAGAUGACUGGCAAAGACUGGCGCGCGCGGACAAGUAGACGCAUCAAUUCAGGCUACAAGUAGACACAUCAAUUCAGGCUACAAGUAGACACAUCAAUUCAGGCUACAAGUAGACGCAUCAAUUCAGGCUACAAGUAGACGCAUCAAUUCAGGCUACAAGUAGACACAUCAAUUCAGGCUACAGGUAGACACAUCAAUUCAGGCUACAAGUAGACACAUCAAUUCAGGCUACAAGUAGACACAUCAAUUCAGGCUACAAGUAGACACAUCAAUUCAGGCUACAGGUAGACACAUCAAUUCAGGCUACAAGUAGACACAUCAAUUCAGGCUACAGGUAGACACAUCAAUUCAGGCUACAAGUAGACACAUCAAUUCAGGCUACAGGUAGACACAUCAAUUCAGGCUACAAGUAGACACAUCAAUUCAGGCUAC